rnacentral:rRNA from 1 species
UACGUAGGGUGCAAGCGUUAAUCGGAAUUACUGGGCGUAAAGCGUGCGCAGGCGGCUUUGCAAGACAGAUGUGAAAUCCCCGGGCUUAACCUGGGAACUGCAUUUGUGACUGCAUGGCUGGAGUGCGGCAGAGGGGGAUGGAAUUCCGCGUGUAGCAGUGAAAUGCGUAGAUAUGCGGAGGAACACCGAUGGCGAAGGCAAUCCCCUGGGCCUGCACUGACGCUCAUGCACGAAAGCGUGGGGAGCAAACAGGAUUAGAUACCCUGGUAGUCC